rnacentral:rRNA from 1 species
GAUCCUGGCUCAGGAUGAACGCUAGCUACAGGCUUAACACAUGCAAGUCGAGGGGCAGCAUGGUCUUAGCUUGCUAAGGCUGAUGGCGACCGGCGCACGGGUGAGUAACGCGUAUCCAACCUUCCCCUUAGUAGGGCAUAGCCCGGCGAAAGUCGGAUUAACACCCUAUGUUUUCCGUUGCGGGCAUCUAAUAUGGAACAAAGAUUUAUCGCUAAGGGAUGGGGAUGCGUCUGAUUAGGUAGUAGGCGGGGUAACGGCCCACCUAGCCCUCGAUCAGUAGGGGUUCUGAGAGGAAGGUCCCCCACCAUUGGAACUGAGACACGGUCCAAACUCCUACGGGAGGCAGCAGUGAGGAAUAUUGGUCAAUGGCCGAGAGGCUGAACCAGCCAAGUAGCGUGCCAGGACGACGGCCCUAUGGGUUGUAAACUGCUUUUAUGCGGGGAUAAAGUCGCCCACGUGUGGGCGUUUGCAGGUACCGCAUGAAUAAGGACCGGCUAAUUCCGUGCCAGCAGCGGC